UCGAGCGAGUCUGCCUUGAAGAUCGGAGUGCUUGCACUCUGUGAAACAAGAUACAGGCUAGCGGCGGACGGGUGAGUAACACGUGGGUAACCUGCCCAAGAGAUCGGGAUAACACCUGGAAACAGAUGCUAAUACCGGAUAACAACAGAUGAUGCCUAUCAACUGUUUAAAAGAUGGUUCUGCUAUCACUCUUGGAUGGACCUGCGGUGCAUUAGCUAGUUGGUAGGGUAACGGCCUACCAAGGCGAUGAUGCAUAGCCGAGUUGAGAGACUGAUCGGCCACAUUGGGACUGAGACACGGCCCAAACUCCUACGGGAGGCAGCAGUAGGGAAUCUUCCACAAUGGACGCAAGUCUGAUGGAGCAACGCCGCGUGAGUGAAGAAGGGUUUCGGCUCGUAAAGCUCUGUUGUUGGUGAAGAAGGACAGGGGUAGUAACUGACCUUUGUUUGACGGUAAUCAAUUAGAAAGUCACGGCUAACUACGUGCCAGCAGCCGCGGUAAUACGUAGGUGGCAAGCGUUGUCCGGAUUUAUUGGGCGUAAAGCGAGUGCAGGCGGCUCGAUAAGUCUGAUGUGAAAGCCUUCGGCUCAACCGGAGAAUUGCAUCAGAAACUGUCGAGCUUGAGUACAGAAGAGGAGAGUGGAACUCCAUGUGUAGCGGUGAAAUGCGUAGAUAUAUGGAAGAACACCGGUGGCGAAGGCGGCUCUCUGGUCUGUUACUGACGCUGAGGCUCGAAAGCAUGGGUAGCGAACAGGAUUAGAUACCCUGGUAGUCCAUGCCGUAAACGAUGAGUGCUAAGUGUUGGGAGGUUUC
rnacentral:rRNA from 1 species